rnacentral:lncRNA from 1 species
UCAAACCGAGUUGUUUGCAAAUUUUGCCUUUUGCUUAUGUCUAAGUAGGGAGUAUUAUUGAAUAAAUUUGGUUUUGGAAUCUAAAGUUGGGGAGAGUAAAGUAAAAAGAUGUGAUUAGAAACUUGGAAAAGUGAGUUUUUAUGAAAGGGUGAAAAUAUGAAAAGAAACAAGAAAAAGAAAUCACCCUUGAAACCAUAGAGCAAAGAAAAAGAAAAGAAAGAAAAAAAGCAAA